rnacentral:misc_RNA from 1 species
AUGAAACUUGUGAUUAAGGCAUCAAGACACUCACAUUUUAAUAUUAUCCUGAAGCAAUUGGUGGAAAUGAUGCGUAGCUUUCGCAACUGUGGGAGCAUAUCUACCACUACAAUAUGCUGGAGAUUCAAGCCCCCUCUGAACGCCUUCACAAAGCGUAAUAUCCUCUAUCUGUACUCUUUCACUAUCUGCUAGACUCCUUUUAAUGAAAGCUUUGUCAUCCUUGUG